UACGGAGGGUGCAAGCGUUAUCCGGAUUCACUGGGUUUAAAGGGUGCGUAGGCGGGUAUGUAAGUCAGUGGUGAAAUCUCGAAGCUUAACUUCGAAACUGCCAUUGAUACUAUAUAUCUUGAAUAUUGUGGAGGUUUGCGGAAUAUGUCAUGUAGCGGUGAAAUGCUUAGAUAUGACAUAGAACACCUAUUGCGAAGGCAGCUCACUACACAAAGAUUGACACUGAGGCACGAAAGCGUGGGGAUCAAACAGG
rnacentral:rRNA from 1 species